AAAAAAAAAAGUAAACAGAUUGUCUCACAGUUCUGGGGGCUACAAGCCCAAAAUCCAGGUUUCAGCAGGGCCGUGCUCCCUCUGCAACCCUAGCAGUCCUUCCUUUUCUGCUCCUAGCUUCUGGUGCCUUGCCAGCCACUCAGGCAUUCAUUGGCUUGCGGCUGCACAGCCAGUCUCUGCCUAUGUGGUCACCUGGCAUCUUCCUUAGUGUCUGUGUCUUCACAUGGCUGUGUUCUUACAAGCACACCAGUCAGAUUAGACUACGGGCCCACCCUACUCCACCAUGACCUCAUCUUAACUAAUAACACCUGCAAUGAUCCUAUUCCCCCAUCAUGUCACAUUCUGAUGCACUGAGGGUUAGGACUUGAACAUAUCCUUUUGGGGGAACACAGUUAACCCUUACCACCACCCUACAGAUUACUGUCUUGGACUUCUUUGGGGCUCUUUAACACAGCAAAGGCUGUUAUUUUUUAAAUCCUAGCUACACUUGGGUUGCACGGAGCAGCAGGAGUGACUCCCCACCCCGCCAGCCUGGCACACACAGCCUGGCUCAGCCAGCACCUGGAUCCAGAGGCUGGAAGACCUGAAGAGGCUCUGCCCAGACUGCCCCUGAGGACAGUGCAGUGGGACAAGAUCCUCACAGUCCCCAGUUCCCAGACGAUCCCUAGCUCUUCAGAAUGCAGGUGGCAGAGGUGACCAGAACAGUCAACACAUGUGAUCCUACUGUCCCCUCUGAGGCUGCGGUUUCCAGGUCAUUAUCCACUUACUGCAGCAGCUGGGGCAUUCCUGGGGGCUUCCCAACCCGGGGCUAGCUGGACACAGGAGGCUCCAGCUACAACCCAAGCCCAGCAAGAAGCCUGCGCAGACCCACAGCUGAGGCUUCAUGUGGCCAGCCCCCAGCCAAGUGGUAGUGCAUGGAGAGACCCACGGGAGGCCAGAGGUGCUGCUGGGACUCAGAAAAGCCACAGCAACCAAGGCGACCCAGGACGCUGUCAUGCUCAGUCUGACAAAACAAAGGUGCAAGGGGCAUAGAUAAAGCUGGAAAGGAGAGGGCUGGGGAGGAUGUGCCAGGGGCCUCUGACACUUGUCAGGGAGCAGGAAUUCCAACUGCUCCCUGCACACAGAGUUGCAGGAUUAGCAACUGAGUUACCCAUGGAGACAUCAGCUCAGAGUCCAGGCAGCUUUUCAGAUGACACUGGGGAUAAGAACAUAAAGACCAGGAAAAUGGGUCACUUUGCACACACAUGAUGCCCCAACAGAUGUGCCGGCCACCACCCAACACAAGACAAAGACGAACAGACAAUAGACUGGUGGGGGAGCAGUGAUCAAAGAAGGCUUCCUGGAGGAGGGGGCCUGACCGGCUCAGUAGGAUACAGGUAAAUGGUGCAAAGUGAGAGGGCAUGGGAUGGAGCAGGGUCAGUCAACCAAAGCCUGUGACUUUGAGCCUAAGGGACACUGACAGUCCUGACCCAAAGGAGGUGCAGGCCUCGGGACAGAUUCUCAUCGCUCAUUCUUCUCCCUGGCGCAGAGGACUUCAGAGCUACCUGGCAUUUUCUCCCUGUCCAAAUCCACCCCACAUUUCAAAAAAAGUAGGCAGACUACCCAACUUCACCCAGAACGGGGGUGCAGGGCUGGGCCUGGGUCUGAGGACUUCAGUUUUAAGCAGCAAGUCCAGUGCCCCUCACCCGUAUUGGGCGGACAGUGUGGGUGGGGUGGAGCCUGCGUCCAUCUGCAGGUUGCUGGUUCGGCUGUGGCCAGCAGGGGGCAGCUGAGCCCACUCUUUCCUCCCGACCGGCUGCAGGGACAGUGAACAGUACCGCCCGCCCAGGCAACCUGGAACCAGGGUCGUGCCCUACGGCAGAAUGUGGGGGGCCUUGGGUCUGGCGCUGCGUGCUCACCCCCUCUCAGAGUGGGAGUCCUGGCUCCUGACUGCCCUGACCUUCUUCCUACCACUGGGCCCAUGAUGGGGGUCCCCAACUUUCAAGAACACAGGGGAUGCGCCUUCUCAGGAAACACGUCCCCUCGCCAGGCCCCUGGGAACAGUCACAACCACGACGCCUGUCCCCGAAGCGCCCGCGCAGCUCCACGGGAUUCCAUGUUGUCACCCACUGGAUCCUGGACGCCAUCAGCCCGCAGCAGGGUUUCCAGACCACAGAAACCGCCUGUUGGGGUGCGGGGCGUUACACGUCCCCUCGCAGCGCCCCGCUGGGCUUCUGGGCCGCCCCGCCCCCACCCCGCGCCCGGACGCUGACGUCACUGGCCGAGCCAGACUCGGAGCCGCCGCCCGAGAGUCACGCGCGCCUCCCGGCGGGACGCGCCCUCUGCAGAGAUCCCUCCGCCGCCGCCUGGAAUUUUCCAGACGUCCUGCCGGCCCUUCUUUCGGGCCUCGUCGGGGCGUGGUGACCUGAGGCGACCCCGGCGGCUCCCGUUGCCCACUUAGGAGGGCGCCCCCGCCCGCCUCUUCCUGAGCCCCUCUCUCUGGGAAGCGCGCCCCGCCCGACCCAACACCCAGGAAGAAAGUCUUCUUCGUCAUGGCAUCCGCCUUCCAAAUGUCACCUUGAGCGCUGUUCGCGAUCCCAAAAAGCACUGCUAAGGAGAAGCGGGGAUAAACUGGGGUCCUUGCGUCGGGGGCGCCUGGGAGACCAUGCACCGCCCGGGUUGUCUCCCCGGGCCGGGUCGGGGAGGGACUUUUUUUCCGGUGGCCGUGGAGGAAUCGUCCCGUUGAACAGUGACCCCGGUGACGCGGCCGAGGGCUAUAAAAGCAAAAGUUGUGGCCGGUCCAGCAGAAGUUAGCGAUAGGGAGGGAUGCGUACUUGGGUCUAGUUGUGGGGGAGGAAGUGACCAGUUCAGGGUCUCGGGACAGACCGGGAGAGAUGGUUGAGUUACAUGAGACUGGGGGCCCUGGGAGUACGAGAAGGAAGCUUGACAAGGAGACUAGGUCUGAAGAAACCACAGUGGGGCAGGCUGCGUGGUGGAAAAUGCCCGCAGGAGCCCCCAGAGAGGACAGCCAUGCUCCAGGCCAGGCUGUCCCUACUGCCUGCUGGAGAGGGAACUUGACCUCUGGGAGGGAGCCGCUCUUGCAUGGCUGAGCGAGCCCCCGUGCGCUGGUCUGUGUGGAAGGAGGAAGGCAGGGAGAGGUAGAAGGGGUGGAGGAGCCAGGAGGAAUGAAUGGGCUGCUGCGGCCCUGGAAACGAUCAGGAAGGCAGGCAGUGGGUGCAGGGCUGCAGAAGGGCCGGGAGGGCCGAGCUUCAACUUGUCCAUGCCAGCGGCCCCUUUUUUUCCAGACCAAGGGCUGUGAACCCGCCUGGGGAUGAGGCCUGGUCUUGUGGAACUGAACUUAGCUCGGCGGGGCUGACCGCUCUGGCCCAGGGUGGUAUGUAAUUUUCGCUCGGCCUGGGACAGGGCCCAGGCCGGGCCCAGCCUGGUGGAGCGUCCAGGUCUGGGUGCGAAGCCAGGCCCCUGGGCGGAGGUGAGGGGUGGUCUGAGGCGUGAUGUGGAGUUAAGGCGCCAUCCUCACUGGUGACUGGUGCAGCACCUAGCAUGUUUGACAGGCGGGGACUGCGAGGCACGCUGCUCGGGUGUUGGGACAACAUUGACCAACGCUUUAUUUUCCAGGUGGCAGUGCUCCUUUUGGACUUUUCUCUAGGUUUGGCGCUAAACUCUUCUGUGAGCUCACUCCACCCCUCCUCCUCCCUUUAACUUACCCAUUCACUUAAAACAUUACCUGGUUGUCUGGUAAGCCCGGGACAGUAGCCGAGUGGCUUUUGGAGUCGGUAUUGUUGGUAAUGGUGGAGAAAGAGAGGCCUUCCCGCUGAGGCUGGGGUGGGGCGGAUCGGUGUUGCUUGCCUGCAGAGAGGGUGGGGAGUGAAUGUGCACCCCUGGGUGGGCCUGCAGCCAUCCAGCUGAAAGUCAUAAAAAUGCCUUAUAGACCGUGGUUUGUUACUAUAGUGUUCCUCAUGGCGAGCAGAUGGAACCGGGAGACAUGGAGCCCCUGGCCAGUGUGAGUCCUAGCAGUGCAGGAGGGGAGACCAUGGAGGAGAGAGCCCGCCUCAAUUGAUGCCUGCAGAUUGAAUUUCCAGAGGCUUAGGAGGAGGAAGUUCUCCAAUGUCGUGUUUCCAGGCCUUGCUGGGGAAGCCCUGUAUUCAGGAGGCAACCAUUUAAAGUUUUCAGAUGAGCUUAUGGGGGGCAAUCUUAAAAUAUCCACAGCAGAUGCAUCCGGCUCGAGGUGCCAUCAGCUUUGAAUAAAUGCUUGUUCCAGAGCCCAUGAAUGCCAGCAGGCACCCCUCCUUUCCUGGGGUAAAGGUUUUCAGAUGCUGCGUCUUCUAAAUUGAGCCUCCGGUCAUACUAGUUCUGUGCUUGGAACCUUGCUUCAAGAAGAUCCCUAAGCUGUAGAACAUUUUAACGUUGAUGCCACAACGCAGAUUGAUGCCUUAUAGAUGGAGCUUGCAGAUGGAGCCCCGUGACCUCUCACCUACCCCCCCUGUUUGCCUGCCUGCCUAUGCGUUGCUCGGAGAAGUUCUUAGCCUGAUGAAAUAACUUGGGGUGUUGGAAAGCUGUUUAAUUUUAAAUGCCUUAGACGGGGGAUGUAUUAGAGGAAGCAGAUUGUCGAGAGUGUCAUUGUGUUAUGCUAAACUCUGGGAGGGUACAAAUUGGUCAUUCCCAAAUCUGUGUGUGAAAAAUGGCAGGUCUAGUUUGGGCAUUGUGAUUGCAUUGCAGAUUACUAAGAGAAGGUAAUGGUGGGUAUACCGGUAGUGCUCUUUUGUUCUUGCUUCGUUUUUUUGCACCUGAACUUCGUUAGAUUUCAUAAUGCUUUUUUGGCAUUUUAAUAAGAGGACCCUGAGGUGGGAGUUGUGGGAGACCGGGAGAAGGGGACAGCUUGGCACUGGUCACGUGGGAUUUGCAGUGUGGGGGAUGGGGGUGUGCAGCUUGGCACUGGUACUGGGAGGGAUGAAGGUGAGGAAGGGGAGAGGGUUGGUUAGGUAUAUAGUGUGGGUGGUAGGAAAUGCAGGUUGAAGGGAAAUUCUCUGGGGCUUUGGGGAGUUUUGUGCGGUGGGUGAGCCAAGAAAAUACUAAUUAAUAAUAGUAAGUGUUGGUUAAGUUGUUGCUUGGAAGUGAAAAGUUGCUUAGAAAGGUUAGAACUUUAAGUGCAAAGAAAAGAAAAAAACCCAAAACAAUUGUUUUCCUUUGCUGCAAGGUGGGGAAGACUGAAAAAGUGUAACCGAAAACAGAUGACACAGAGUCACCCGUUUUCCGAGAACCCACAGGGAGGGGUGUAUGAUGCCAUCUCACAGGCAGGGCAAGUGUCUUUACCAGCUUCCUCCCGGUGACCAAGGCAGCCUGUUUUAGAGGGUUGUUUUGUUUGGGGUGUGGGUGUUAUCAAGUGAAUUAAUCACUAGAAAGAUGGGUGUCAGACUUGUAGACACAGCAGAUCGGCAUCCUUCGCUGCCCCUUAGCAACUUAGGUGGUCAAUCUGAAGCUGUGAAGGUGUGAUUUUUCAGGAGCUGGAAGUCUUAGAAAAACCUUGUAAAUGCCUACAUUGUGGGCUUUUGACAUAUUUAAGGGACCGCUUAAGACGAGAUUAGAUGGGCUCCUCUGGAUUUGUAACUCAUUUGUCACAGAUACCUUGUGAUUGAAAAUCGUGAGUGAAGUGAAAUUGCAGUGCAUUUCAAGGGAAUUUUGUAUGUAAAUCGUGCCUUAGAAACACUUCUGUUGUCUUUUCUGUGUUUGGUCGAUAUUAAUAAUGGCAAAAUUUUUACCUACCUAGUAUCUUCAAAUCGUAGUCUUUGUAACAAGAACCAAAUAACCUUUUGUGGUCACUGUAAAAUUAAUACUUGGUAGCAGACAGAAUCCAUGUACCUUUGCUAAGGUUAGAAUGAAUAAUUUAUUGUAGUUUUAGUUUGAAUGUUUGUGCUUUAUAAAUGAUCCAAGGCUAGAGGGGAAACUAUCACUUAAAAUCCAUGUGGAAAACAAGAGCUAAAAAGGAAAGGGGAUGGGGAUUGUGGGGAGGGAGUGGGUGAGGUGCCUUUACUACAUGUGUGAUCUGAAAAACCUGCUUGGUAAUAAGCUGCGGUAUUGAAUUGGUAAAGUAAUACCAAUGGCCUUUUAUCAUUUCUUUCUUCCCUUUAAAUUUCACUUAAAAUUUUUAAAAUCAUGGUUAUUUUUAUCCUUGGGAUCUUUCUGUCUUCUGGGUUCCGUUUUUUAAAUGUUUAAAAAUAUGUUGACAUGGUAGUUCAGUUCUUAACCAGUGACUUGGGGAUGAUGCAAACAUCCUGUUGUUGGGAUUUAGAGUGUAUUCCUCAUGCAUGUAUGGGGAAAUAGUCUCCAGUAUGCUGUUGUGAAAUUGAAACUGUAAAAGUAGAUGGGUAAAAGUACUGGUGUGUUGCUCUGUAUGGUAAGAACUAAUUCUAUUACGUCAUGUACGUAAUUACUAAUCGUUUUUCUUCCACUUUACAGCACAAAUAAAGGUUUGAGUUCUAAACUCAUGAGAA